UUAUUAAUUUUGUCUUUCUUAUGCCAGGGUCAAACCCUGUGUUUGGACUGUUAUUGAUUGCUCUGCAGUCUUAUUUUCCCAAAGCUGUACAAUAGGUGAGUGCGUGAAAACUGAAGAGUUGAUACAAAAUAACGAAGGGUUAUUUUGAGAACUUGCUAGUCAAAAAGAAGCAGCAGGCUGUAAAGGUAAAACCAUGUCAGACAACGAGGCUCCUAAAAGACUGAGGCGUGAUAGGGAGAAACCAGUGUUAGAUAACAAUAUGCCUAAGAAACUGAAGUACUGGGUGGAGGAAAAAUCCUCAGAGAACAACACUCCUCAAAUAAAGUAUGAUGUUUUUGUUAGCUUCAGGGGUGAAGACAUCCGCCACACGCUUCUUAGCCAUUUGAUUGGUGCUUUUCAAAGAAAGAAAAUAUGUGCCUUUAUAGAUGCUGAACUUUAGAGGGGACAUGAAAUAGGACCAUCACUUUUUCAAGCAAUUGAACGAUCAGACAUCCUGUUGAUCAUAUUCUCACCACAUUAUGCUUCUUAUCAUUGGUGCUUAGAGGAACUAGAGAAAAUCCUUGAGUGCAGAGACAAGUAUGAACGGACUGUGAUCCCUGUUUUCUACAAUGUGCAACCCACAGAUGUACGACAUCAAUUGCGGACUUAUGAAAAUGCAUUUGUUGAGCAUGAAC